AUACACACGGGGGGGAAAAACAGGAAUAUACUACGAACACAGACAUAAUAGGGUUGACAAGCGAUCAUACAAGCACACAAACACGCACACAAAUGGAGUUUUAUAACUUGCCAGAGUUACACAUGCUCAUAUGCAAACUAUACUAUACUUUUUCAGCCUAUACAACAUACUUUGUUGCUUCAAAAUAAAAAAAAUUAACAGUUUUCAUGGGAAGAAAAGAAUGAAUGAUUCCUUGUAUUAACAGAUGGCGUAGCUGGUCUGAACACUGUUU